CCUUGCUAACAGGCAUCACAAUCUAGUAACAGCCAUCUCCCAAGCUCACUUGGUCAGAGACUGCCAACAGCAAACCUGCUGAGCUGCUUCUCCUCUUCAAGAGGCUGCAGCCUCAGGACCCCAGGCAGAGAAAGUAUCUAUGAAAGAUUAAGAAGAUGGCUGAGUCCAUCCAGACACCACAGGCCAUGCUGCAGCAGCUGCAUGACUGUCACAGACACACCAGGGACAGUCUCCCCGGGAGUGACCACCAGUGACCUACCAAAAUCAAGAACAUCCUCAAGUGCCUUGUCCAGGAGAAGAGAAAUCCAUCCACCACAGAGCUGCAGGCUGCUGGAGAAAGCUGUAUUAUGCAAAUGGCCACAUUUUUCAGGCCAAAUGCUUCAGCAGGUUCACUGGGGCUUUCUUCUGCUUCAUCCUCACCCCAGGACCCAGGCUGUGGGAAGAGCUUAUGACUGGGCCUUGCUGACUGCUACAUCAGAGGGAAAGACAGUGAUAAAAUGCAUGCUUGGUUUUGAAGUUUUUGACCAGAAAUAAUACAUGGCACUAUUGUUAGCUGAAUAGUAUCCCUCAAAACUUCAUGUCUACUUAGAACCUUAAUGAUGUGAUUUUAUUUAAAAUAGAUCUUUGCAGGUAUAUUUAGUUAAGGAGCUCAGGACAAUAUUAACCCAAAUCUAGGGUGGGCCUGACAUCCAGUGAUUGUUGUCCUUAUAUGAAGAGAGCAGGAUAUGAUAACAGAGAAGUCCAUGUGCAGACAGAGAAAGAGUCUAGAGUGAUGCGCUCACAUGGAAGAGCAUCAAGGCUGCAAUGAUUCAGCGGAAGCCAGGAAGGAGAUUCUUCUCCAGCUUUCGAGGGAGCAAGCACCUGCUGACACCUUGAUUCCAGACUUCAGACUCCAGAACUGUGGCAGAAUAAACUUCUCUUGGUGUAAGC
rnacentral:lncRNA from 1 species